rnacentral:rRNA from 1 species
UGGGGAAUUUUGGACAAUGGGGGCAACCCUGAUCCAGCAAUGCCGCGUGAGUGAAGAAGGCCUUCGGGUUGUAAAGCUCUUUUGUCAGGGAAGAAACGGUAGUAGCGAAUAACUAUUACUAAUGACGGUACCUGAAGAAUAAGCACCGGCUAACUACGUGCCAGCAGCCGCGGUAAUACGUAGGGUGCAAGCGUUAAUCGGAAUUACUGGGCGUAAGGCGUGCGCAGGCGGUUGUGUAAGUCAGAUGUGAAAUCCCCGGGCUCAACCUGGGAAUUGCAUUUGAGACUGCACGGCUAGAGUGUGUCAGAGGGGGGUAGAAUUCCACGUGUAGCAGUGAAAUGCGUAGAUAUGUGGAGGAAUACCGAUGGCGAAGGCAGCCCCCUGGGAUAACACUGACGCUCAUGCACGAAAGCGUGGGGAGCAAACAGGAUUAGAUACCCCCGUAGUCCCUGAGCGGGCUGGCAAGGCGCAU